rnacentral:rRNA from 1 species
UACGUAGGGGGCGAGCGUUAUCCGGAUUCAUUGGGCGUAAAGCGCGCGUAGGCGGCCUGCUAGGUCGGGACUCAAAUCCGGGGGCUCAACCCCCGCCCGGUCCCGAUACCGACAGGCUUGAGUCUGGUAGGGGAAGGCGGAAUUCCAAGUGUAGCGGUGGAAUGCGCAGAUAUUUGGAAGAACACCGGUGGCGAAGGCGGCCUUCUGGGCCACGACUGACGCUGAGGCGCGAAAGCUAGGGGAGCGAACAGGAUUAGAUACCCGGGUAGUCCCUGAGCGGGCUGG